UUACUUUCAGCCUUGGAAGAGUGGUCUCCAUCAAGAGCUUAGCCCUAAACAUGAAGAUGAAGAUAAAAAGGAAAAGGAAAAAGAGCCCUGUGAAUUGGAACCUCGAAAACCAGAAAAGAAUCUACAUUUAAGCCAUCUUUUCAAGGGGGCUGCCCAUGGAGGGAUGCUGGGAAGAAAGCAGGUGAUGAAAGUCCUCGGAGGCAGCAGCAGCAUGCUGCCCGGGAACCAGGGCCCUGUGAGCGACGCUGUCCAGACAAAGGCCUGCCCCCAAGACCCGAAGCUGGCCAGGCACUCCGUAGGCCCCUGUAACAGUAAUCACAUCAUAUUGUGUUGAGCAAAGAAAAGAAGAGGAGACUCACCCCAAGGAAAGUCUGGCAGUGGCUGGAUCCACGGACACAAACAGUAACUCAAGGACUCCAUGUUGCGGCUUCUACUUUGGGCUUUUCCCUCCCUGGCUGGGCCCCAUUUUCAGACAGACCCCAC
rnacentral:lncRNA from 1 species